CGUUAGUUCAGGCAGGCAACAAAGUCAACCUCCGCUCAUUCCAGCAUAUCAGGUGAUAGCAGCCAUCUUCAGCAGCACAUCAGCCCACAGCUCAUCUGAUUCCUCUCUUAACAUUCAUUGGCAAAUUCCAGACAAGGCGCCUAUUUAAGCUGCUGUAGCCUACCUCCCUGUCCUCACUGCUUCCUACGCAAAGCUCAUAACCCACCGCCACCCCAGCUCCACUUUUCAGGCUGUAUCUGAUAGGGAUGCACAAUAAAUAUCGAUCCACUAAGUAUUGGCCGAUCGGGCAUAUCUCAUUAUCAGAAGCACAUUGAGGAAUGAAUUUGGCCGAAUAGAAUAAAACUUGCUAACAUGCGCCGCCACACUGUCGCGCUCUGGGCGUCAUGUCGCUGUGUGCGGAUAGAGCGACACAGACGCAGUUUAAGGCAGCUAUCUUCUGUCCUCCUUCCCUCUGUCCCUGCGUGUUUCACUCUACUCCACAACCAUGUGCAGUUUGAAGUUUCCCACUCAGAUGACAUUUGAGCUUGGGAACAAACAACCCACUAUGUUGAGUGGUUUCAACAUGCAUCGCCUACUUGACUUUGUGGAGGACUGGAAAGUUUAAUGAAACUGUCUGAUAGGCUGAGCUUGGUACUCUGUUGGGUGGAUAUGUUGUUCUUCCCUUGUGUGUCAGUCUUAUUCAGCUUGGCCAAUAUUGUUGCUGCUUUCUUCAGCAAAGAAUAAAGUGCUGGAGUGGGUACCUUU